CUGCGAGUGAAGCGGGAAGAGCUCAAAUUUAAAAUCUGGCGGCCUGUUGCCGUCCGAGUUGUAAGCUAGAGAAGUGCCGUCCGCGCUGGGGCCAUGUACAAGUCUCCUGGAACGGAGCGUCGUGGAGGGUGAGAACCCCGUCUCUGACAUGGACCUCCCGGGGCAUCGCGAUGGCGCUCUCAAAGAGUCGAGUUGUUUGGGAAUGCAGCUCCAAAUGGGUGGUAAACUCCAUCUAAAGCUAAACAUUGGCGAGAGACCGAUAGCGAACAAGUACUGUGAGGGAAAGAUGAAAAGAACUUUGGAAAGAGAGUUAAACAGUACGUGAAAUUGUUGAAAGGGAAACGCUUGAAGUCAGUCGCGUCGGCCCGGGAUCAGCCCCGCAACCGCGAGGUGCACUCCCCCGUCGACGGGUCAGCACCAGUUUCGACCGUUGGAGAAAGGUCGGGGGAAUGUGGCAUCCUCGGAUGUGCUUAUAGCCCCCGAUCGCAUGCAUCGGUUGGGAUUGAGGAACUCGGCGCGCCGCCAGGCCGGGUCUCAGACCACGUCCGCGCCCAGGAUGCUGGCACAAUGGCUUUAAUCGACCCGUCUUGAAACACGGACCAAGGAGUCUAACAUGCCUGCGAGUGUUUGGGUGGAAAACCCAUGCGCGCAAUGAAAGUGAAAGUUGAGAUCCCCGUUUCGGGGAGCAUCG
rnacentral:rRNA from 1 species